rnacentral:lncRNA from 1 species
ACAAAAGGAUUUAGUUUUAUUUUAGAUCUUUGUCAAAUAACCGGCGGUUAUUGUGCCGAGUACUGGUCAAAUAAUCCCUGCCUAUAAUAUAAUAGUUUUACAGUGUUGUGUAUUAUAUAGGUAUCUGUUACAUUUCCAGGAAGCUUUAAGGACCAACAACACAUCUCGGUACGACAAGUGGAGACUCGACCGUACAGACCCGUCCGGUCUCGCACACGACGCCGUUAACGGCAAACGGAGAAACGCCGCCGCCGCCGACCCGCGGGAGGUACUUUCUCCAUCACUGCCUAAAGUGGACCUGAUGUGAACUAGAAUGAAGUUGGCUGGACCUGCAGUGAAGUGGACCUGAAGCUAACUGGACCUCAAGUAGUCUGUGGAAGCUUCAAGGACCAACAACACAUCUCGGUACGACAAGUCGAGACUCGACCGUACAGACCCGUCCGGUCUCGCACACGACGCCGUUAACGGCAAACGGAGAAACGCCGCUGGGAGGCACUUUCUCCAACACUGCCUACAGUGGACCUGAUGUGAACUAGAAUGAAGUUGGCUGGACAUAAAGUUUACUGGACCUCAAAUAGUCUGUGUCACCCGACGGGAGUCAGAAACGUCAUUUUUGUGCGGACCGGCGACUCGACGGACCCCGGCCGAGGACGCCGCUCGAACCGCGGUUGCGGAGGAGCGCGCCGAUACGAGUCGGAGACGGCUCGUACAGUCGGCGCACGAGAGCGGUCCGGACGAAGACAUUCGGGAACCGAGGACGAAGACGGUCGUCCACUGCGGACGAAGACACCGGUCGACGCGCGAGGAAGAUGCUCCGGAACACGGGAAGAACGCCACACUCCCGAGUGCGGGAAGACACUCGUCAACGCAGAAGGAGACACGCAUCAAUGUCGGGCCGGCGUGAUUGUUUUAAAGACGAUUUAACGUGUAAAAUGAAUGUACGUGUUGUUUGUAACGAUUGUUAUAAUGUUUGUAGUAUGGUAUUGUUUUUAGAGACCGACUCUGCGAAGGCGGAGGAAGUCGAUACAUGUCGAGAAUGAAUUUAUUGAAGAUGUUGCCUGUGAUCACUAGGUGUUUGCACUAAUUUGGGGAGAUGAUUACGAUCGUAGAACGUCACGGAAUGCGGCGCGCAUCCGUAAAUAACGGCAGCAUAAAUACGAGAGAACGCGGUGGCGGCGGCGGGGAAGUGCGCCUUUUGAAAGUAAAAGAACGGGGGAGAUCGGACCGACAUAGAUGGUGUUGUUGUGGUAACCGAUAAGAAUGGAGAAAUGAUGACUAUUUGGUGGGUUUUUUAGGACAGAGAGAGUAGUUAUAUAUUAGUGAAGAUAUAAAGUAAAAGGUGAUAAGGAUGGUGGUGGGGGGGACAACGAAUGAUAUAUUUUGUAGGGUAUUAAAGGAAUUGACUCGUCAGUGCCGAGUCGGCGUAAUUGUGAGAAACGGAUGCGACGGGGAUUUUAAAGAAGUUGCGGGGAAAUUGGCGGAAGCGACGAUCGCAAUAACCUUUCGACGUGGGACGGACGACGACGAAUUUAGUAAAUGGCGGUUUAGGAAAGGGUCGUACGUAAAGCGGCGGGUGCGGA